UACGUAGGGGGCGAGCGUUGUCCGGAUUCAUUGGGCGUAAAGAGCUCGUAGGCGGCUUGGCAAGCCGGGUGUGAAACCUCCAGGCUCAACCUGGAGACGCCACCCGGGACUGCUAUGGCUAGAGUCCGGUAGGGGAUCACGGAAUUCCAGGUGUAGCGGUGAAAUGCGUAGAUAUCUGGAGGAACACCGGUGGCGAAGGCGGCAUCCUGGACCGGUAUUGACGCUGAGGCGCGAAAGCCAGGGGAGCAAACGGG
rnacentral:rRNA from 1 species